CUGCAUUUAUAGGUGUAGGCAGUUCUGAAGGCACCUUCUUAUUUGUCACAAUUAUACAGUUGUAGUUUGAUAAAUGUUCAUCACCUUGGUACAACAACUGAUUCUGUUUUUGUUGUUUUUUCUCCCUUUUCCAGAAUUGUAUGUUUUCACAUAUGUUGGAUAAUAGGCAGAGAGUGGAGACCCAAUGAACUUGUGAUAUGAGGGAGCUUUAGAUGCUAAUGUUGAAGAUGCACAACCAAGAGAAUGUAGGAGACUGGACCCCUGAAUCUCUCCAUGGAUAAUGGCAGCAAGCUUCUUCGGUGUUAAACAACCUAGAUUCUGAUAAAGCAUCUACUAUUGUCUUAACUAAAAAGUGAUGGAUAAUAUUUUCUUGGACAAAGGUGAUAGAGAUGAAUAUGAAGGGAAGUGGUCAGAUUCUACAUACACUUCGCAGAGAAACAGGAGUUCCUGAGAAUGUGGAUAUGGUGAAAAGGGGGACAUAUGAA
rnacentral:lncRNA from 13 species